GCCAUUGGGGGGCAGGCUACCAUGCAAGUCGAGCGGAUGAGUGAGCUUGCUCAUGGAUUCAGCGGCGGACGGGUGAGUAAUGCCUAGGAAUCUGCCUGGUAGUGGGGGACAACGUUUCGAAAGGAACGCUAAUACCGCAUACGUCCUACGGGAGAAAGCAGGGGACCUUCGGGCCUUGCGCUAUCAGAUGAGCCUAGGUCGGAUUAGCUAGUUGGUGAGGUAAUGGCUCACCAAGGCUACGAUCCGUAACUGGUCUGAGAGGAUGAUCAGUCACACUGGAACUGAGACACGGUCCAGACUCCUACGGGAGGCAGCAGUGGGGAAUAUUGGACAAUGGGCGAAAGCCUGAUCCAGCCAUGCCGCGUGUGUGAAGAAGGUCUUCGGAUUGUAAAGCACUUUAAGUUGGGAGGAAGGGUUGUAGAUUAAUACUCUGCAAUUUUGACGUUACCGACAGAAUAAGCACCGGCUAACUCUGUGCCAGCAGCCGCGGUAAUACAGAGGGUGCAAGCGUUAAUCGGAAUUACUGGGCGUAAAGCGCGCGUAGGUGGUUCGUUAAGUUGGAUGUGAAAUCCCCGGGCUCAACCUGGGAACUGCAUCCAAAACUGGCGAGCUAGAGUAUGGUAGAGGGUGGUGGAAUUUCCUGUGUAGCGGUGAAAUGCGUAGAUAUAGGAAGGAACACCAGUGGCGAAGGCGACCACCUGGACUGAUACUGACACUGAGGUGCGAAAGCGUGGGGAGCAAACAGGAUUAGAUACCCUGGUAGUCCACGCCGUAAACGAUGUCAACUAGCCGUUGGGAGCCUUGAGCUCUUAGUGGCGCAGCUAACGCAUUAAGUUGACCGCCUGGGAGUACGGCCGCAAGGUUAAAACUCAAAUGAAUUUGACGGGGGCCCGCACUAGCGGUGGAGCAUGUGUUUUAAUUCGAAGCAACGCGAAGAACUUUACCAGGUCUUGACAUCCAAUGAACUUUCCAGAGAUGGAUUGGUGCCCUCGGAACAUUGAAACAGGUGCUGCAUGGCUUGUCGUCAGCUCGUGUCGUGCGAUGUUGGGUUAACUCUCGUAACCGAGCGCUACUCCUUGUCCUUCACUUUACCACGCAUGCUAUGAUGGUGCACUCUAA
rnacentral:rRNA from 1 species